CCUCAGACACGAAGCUUCUAUACGCUACCUUUCAAUUUUGAGGGAGGGAGGACGUGCGAAAUCCCCACUGUCCAAGGAUCAUAUCCCUUCUAGCCUUCCUUCGAGCCUGCUAGAAGAGGCCCAGUUGGUACGGUAAUACUUAUUCACCAAGCUGGUCAUCGACGAGAGUGAGGAUGUCCUAGACGGAGCAAGAAUGGGCAGAGGCUGAAGAACCUACUAUGAAGCUUACUUUUCAAGCACAGAAAAUUUGGUCUACAUAGCCUCUUUUACAAGGUGACAUUUGUUUUUUAACCUUAAAGUAGAGGAAAAUGAAAAGUGGACAAGAAAACUUUGAAGAUAAGAUGGUGAGUUGGUUCUAUUCUUUUUCAGUUGUCUU